GAGAGACUUGCCAAAGAGUUGUUUAUUGGU
rnacentral:piRNA from 2 species